rnacentral:tRNA from 1 species
UGCGAAGUGGUGUAAUAAUAACAUUGCUGAUUAACUAUCAGCAGUUAAAAGUGUAAAUCUUUUUUUCGCUC